GAAUAUGGGUCUUACUGCAAGUAUCUAAAUCAUGAUACAUACUCAUCUAUUUGCAAUAGUUUUCUAAGCUGAUUUUUAAGUUCUAUUGUUUUAUGCAAAAGAUUAGAGAUCUAGAAUUUUAAAGUUUCUGUUUUUGGUCUUCCUUUUAAUUUCCACUGUGAAUUUAGCUAUGUUUUCAUUUAACACCCAUAUGUUGAAGUUUAUCUGUCCCUAACACAGAGAGUAUAUUAAUAUGUCCUCAGUGAGUGUGUGAGACUCAGCAAGAAGAAGACUUGCCAUGACCCCACAAAUCAGCCCAGACAGCCCCGGAGGCAACUUGAGAGAGUAAGAGAGAGCGAAGAGAAUCUGAAGUCACAGAGAGCACCUUCCGAACAGGCCUGUUGAGACCACCAACCCAUCAACUGGGCCAGCGCAGAUAUCCGAUAAGCGACUUUUUGACGUCAAGAGGCUAAAACUCCUCCCUCAGAUCAUGCUAAUGCCGCCUUUUUGUGAACAUGCAUCCUAUGAAGAGCCAUGAAGUCUGACUACGCUUGCGCAGAUCAUCAAUUAUCUCACCUCUCCUCACCUCCAACCAUCUAUCUCCACAUUUCAGACCACUUUGCCCCCUAUCCCAUGUAUAUCCCUGAGUCCCUGUUUUCAGGGAAGUGGAUUUGAAACUCAUUCUCUUGUUUCCUCACUUCACUGCCUUGUGAUUAAAACUCUCUCUCUGCUUCAA